rnacentral:rRNA from 1 species
AUUGAACGCUGGCGGCAGGCCUAACACAUGCAAGUCGAACGAGUGGCGGACGGGUGAGUAAUGUCUGGGAAACUGCCUGCUGGAGGGGGAUAACUACUGGCAACGGUAGCUAAUACCGCAUACCAUCGGAUGUGCCCAGAUGGGAUUGGGUUGUAGGUGGGGUAACGGCUCACCUAGGCGACGAUCCCUAGCUGGUUUGAGAGGAUGACCAGCCACACUGGAAUGUAGACACGGUCCAGACUCCGACGGGAGGGAGCAGUGGGGAAUAUUGAACAAUGGGCGCAAGCCUGAUGCAGCCAUGCCGCGUGUAUGAAGAAGGCCUUCGGGUUGUAAAGUACUUUCAGCGGGGAGGCGUUACUCGCAGAAGAAGCACCGGCUAACUCCGUGCCAGCAGCCGCGGUAAUAC